GACGAACGCUGGCGGCGUGCUUAACACAUGCAAGUCGAACGGAAAGGCCCUGCUUUUGUGGGGUGCUCGAGUGGCGAACGGGUGAGUAACACGUGAGUAACCUGCCCUUGACUUUGGGAUAACUUCAGGAAACUGGGGCUAAUACCGGAUAGGAGCUCCUGCUGCAUGGUGGGGGUUGGAAAGUUUCGGCGGUUGGGGAUGGACUCGCGGCUUAUCAGCUUGUUGGUGUGGUAGUGCCUUACCAAGGUUUUGACGGGUAGCCUGUCUGAGAGUGUGACGGGCGUCAUUGUCACUGAGGGUCGGCCCAGUGUCGUACGGGAGGAAGCAGCGGCGAACAUUCGACAUGGGGCGGAAUCCGUUAGUAGCAACUUAGCGGGCGAAAUGGCGCCAUUCGGGUAUGAACCCGCUUUCCCCUAUAACGAUACGUCUGUAAAGGUCCUGCGCAAAGAAGACGAGGCUAAGUACUU
rnacentral:rRNA from 1 species